rnacentral:lncRNA from 1 species
GCCGGGCGCUCGGGUUUCAGCCGCCGCUCCUCCGCGCCCCGCCCGCGCCUGGCCCGCUCGCCGGCGCCGGGAGAGACCUCGUAACGGAACUGGGACGCCAGCGCUGCAUUGUGGGAGCUUUUAAAGCGGCGGGGAGCUCGGCGCGACCCUCGGGCCCACCGGGCCACGCUCGCCCGGCCCGCGACGCCCCCCCGCUGUCGCCUGGCCCGCGACGCACCGAGGCCUGAGGACCCGAAAGCCGGGCGCGGGGAGAUGACCGGUGGCUCGUGACGGUCCCACGGGCAAAAUCUUCCAUCGCCCGGGGCUGAGACUUGUCAAACUGCCCUCUACGGUCACCCGGAAAGUAGGAGGCUUUUUCUGCAGAGGGGAAAAAAAUCAAAAAGAGCCGUUCCAUCCCCCCUCCAAGGACUGGGUUUGAAUUGCUUUUCAUCUGCAGUGGCUGUGAUUCAGCGUCCCUCUUAGCAGCAGGCAAUGACAGAGGCAGGAGAGGGGAAAAAAAAAAAGAAAGAAAGAAAAAACACAGCAAAUGAAUCAAACGGACCAGGUAGCAGGCAAGAGUGUGGUUAUCGUUGGACCAGGAUUCAGGAUCUGACUGAGUAGCUGACUCUUAAUCCAGUUUGUGUUGAUCACCAGGAGGAUCUGGACCUCAGUAUUACCACAUCUAGAGCUAUAAUCACAUCCCUGUUAAGCCUUCCUGAGAUCACACCAAAUGUCCUUGAUGGGAAUUGUAAACAACCCUUACUUCUGGUUUCUAAUGAUAUUCCAGGAAAGGAGCCUAACUAGAGUCAGUGAUAUGCCAACUCCACCUUUGCCUUCCACCAUGUUUGGAAGCUCCCUGAGGCCUCACCAGGAGCAGAUGCUCGUCCCAUGCUUCCUAUAAGCCUGCAGAACUGUGAGCCAUAAUAAACUGUGAAUUAUAAAUUGCCUUUAUAGCAAUGCAAAUGGACCAGUACAGAUGGGAUGCUGGGAAGACAGUUGUUUCCACCUUCAGUAAAGUCCGUGGAACACAGUUGUGACUAUAUUCUAGGCCAGCCAAGAUGCUUGUACUCAGAAAGGAGUGGUCUCAGGACCAUAAGAAAGUGAAAAAAUAAAAAUAAGAAAAUAAAGAAGGGAUUGUCAAUGAAUCAGAAUUCAUCAAGGUCAAAGUCUUAGGAAAUUCCUUCAUGAGGAAGUCUAGGGGGGCUAUGGAAAUGAAAUUUUUAAACAAAUAGGUAUGUGGUGCUGGCAGGAAUAAAUUAUGGACUUAUGAAUAUAACAUAAGAUUCUUUAUUACCUGGUCUCACCCGUCUUUCCACCUCUGCCCCCCUUCUUGCCCGACUCUGUGUAUCACCCAUAAUAAACUACUUACAGCUUCCUAGUGUUAAAUUUACCCUAAAGCUGCCUCCUUCAAUAUUUUAAGUUUAACCUAAAGGUUCUUCAUACAUAGUGAACUAUAACCCAAUGAUUAAACAGAUUGUAACCUACUCUUGUACCAGUCACCAAGUUUCAGCCAAUCAGAGGUGGCCAACUGUUCAAACCAUGCUCAAAUAAGGGAAAUGUCAUGGUGUAACUAAUCCAGCUGUUUCUAUACCUUACUUCUGUUUUCUUAGGUCACUUUCCUUUUUUGUCCAUAAAUUCUCUCCAACCACUCAGCAGCACUGGAGUCACUCCAAAGCUAUCCUGGUUCAGGGGUCUGUCUGAUUCACAAGUCAUUCUUUGUUCAAUUGAGCUCUGCUAAAUUUAAUUUGUCUGAAGUUUUUCUUUUAACAGAUGGUGUCAGAAAUGGACCCCAAAGUAGAGCUCCCAGUGAUCCCCCAGGAGCACUGAGUGACCACAAGGGGUACCUGCUGGGCCCGUCCUCUCGCAGUGUCCACUGCUCUCUUACAGCAACUGGAGAUUGUGGCUGCAUUCUCUCUCAGAUUCUGAAGCUCCAUACAUUGCCGUUUUCAGCUGUUCAAGCUUGCUUGAGCAAAUUUUUGAUCUUAGCUGAGUUUGGAAGUCGAUAGACAUUGGACUGGGUCCAGGAUUUGAUUGGAUCUGAUAAUUAACUGGCUUGGAUCCAGUUAGAUGCCUCGGUUAUCUGACUGGGUCAGAUAGAAACCGCCAGUAAAUAUUUUAAUAACAAUACUGCAGGGGUAUGAACUCUGGCUUUAAGAAACUCACAAGGAAUUUUAUGUUCUAUACCCUUUGUUUCUUUUUCUUGUGUGCUUCGGUCAGGAAAAAUCAUUAGUCAAGUUAAUCAAGGGGAUCUGAGAGCCAAAUACAAGAUUCAACGUAAAAAUGGAAUCCUUGGGCUAGGCGUGGUGGCUCAGGCCUGUAAUCCCAGGACUUUGGGAGGCUGAGGCAGGCGGAUCACCUGACCUUAGGAGUUCGAGACCAGUCUGGCCAACAUGGUGAAACCCCGUCUCCACUAAAAAUACAAAAAUUAGCCAGGCGUGGUGGUGGGCACCUGUAAUCCCAGCUACUUUGGAGGCUGAGGCAGGAUAAUCACUUGAACCCAGGAGGCAGAGGUUGCAGUGAUCUGAGAUUGCACCACUGCACUCCAGCCUGGGCAAAAGAGCGAGACUCCAUCUCAUAAAUAAAUACAUAAAUAAAUAAAGAAAUCCUUAAUUUCUGCGGAACUGAGUGCUCUACCUUCUGGCUACACCUACGUAUACCUGUAUGAGGUAUAGGCCCUGGAAGCAGCAAACACUUACAGAAAUGGUGAAAUCUUACUAAAGGUGACUAAUCAGAAAAAUUAGGUCUUCUAACCUUUUGUCAUUGUUACUGUCUUGCCCUGAAAGGGAAAAGAAAGCUGGAUAAAGUAUUUAUAGAAGAUAGAGGACCUGUGGUGGCUCAUGCCUGUAAUCCAAGGUGGAAGGAUUGCUUGAGGCCAGAAGUUCAAGACCAGUCCAAGCAACAUAGCAAGGCCCCAUCUCUACAAAAAAUGAAAAUAAAAUUAGCCGAGCGUGAUGGCUCAUGCCUGUAGUUCUAGCUUCUAGAGAGGCUGAGGCAGGAGGAUUGCUUGAGUCCAGGAGUUCAAGAUUACAGUGAGCUAUGGUCACACCACUGCACUCCAGCCUGGGUGAUGGAGUGAGACUGUCUCAAUAAAAAGACAAAAAGGCUGGCCAGGGGCAGUGGUUCAUGCCUGUAAACCCAGCACUUUGGGAGGCAAAGGCAGGAGGAUUGCUUAAGCCCAGGAAUUUGAGAUCAGCCUGGACAACAUGGUGAGACCCCCAUCUCUACAAAAAUUUUUUUUAAAAGUUACCCAGGCAUGGUGUUGCACAUCUGUGUUCCCAGCUACUGGGGAGGCUGAGACGGGAGGAUCACUUGAGUCCAGGAAGUUGAGAGGUUGAGGCUGCUGUGAGCUGUGAUUGUGCCACUGCACUUUAGCCUGGACAACAGAGGGAGACCCUGUCAACAACAACAACAACAACAAAAAAGCAAAACAUCAUAGGCUGCAGAAAUAAACUUUCUUGUCAAUUGUGUCUUUAACCAUGACCAUUUUGAGUCAUUUCCACAGUGAGUUGCCUAAUUUUGAUGCAUUUCUGAAAACUCUUUAUAAGCAAGUAAAAUCCUAGAGAAUUGUGCCUUCAAGGAGACUCAUGGAAAGGAUGGAAAGAACUCUUGAAUACAUGUUUCUGAUAGCUUUAUGAUCAUAUCAUUUGGACUGGGUAAGAAUUCCCAGAACUCAUGAAGAGACUGACUAUUUAUUAAUCCAAGCAGGAAAAGAAUUAAUUGAAUACCAAGGAAAUACUGUGCCAGAGAUUUUCAUGCUAAAUCAGUCAGCACCGAAAUCGUUAAGAUGUGUAGUUUGAAUGAACUCCAUGAUCCUAGUCAAAUUUCCUAUGAUGACCCAUUUAAUAAACAGUGCUAUGCACCUGAAUUGGAGAAACAGAAUUGAUACUUAAAUCCAAUGUUAAUCAUAGAUUCAUGGAAAGCCUAAAUGGCUGCUUGGGUCUUCCUGAGCCCUUAAAGCUUCCAUUAUUAAAGGCUCUGCACUUUAUAAGUUAUCACUGAAGAGAGAAAAUGAUCCAGAUUUAAAAUACACAUAUUGGUGUGGUGAAUGUUCUAAAUUGCGAAAAUGGUUUAUGACCAACAUUUGGUUUGUCAUGCUCACAAUCCUGGAAAUACAUUCAAAACUUCAGGUACAUUUCUGCUACCUGAUGGGCUAUUUGAAUAUAUAGAGAGGGAUUUCAUUCAAUUGCCAUUUUCAUUGCAUGUUUUUUGGUUGUAUAGAAGCUUUCCCAUGCAAGGAGGCUGAUGCUGUUAUUACAGUAGCUAAAAGGUUAGUAGGAAAUGUGUUUUCCCCCAUGGGGCAUUCCUGGAGAAAUCUCUAGCAAUAAAGGUACUUGUUUGACUGGACAAGUUGUAAAACAGUUUAAUAAGGUUUUUUUUAGGUGUCAUAGCAUUAGGCAAAGCUAACUGAAUUGACUGGAUUGUCAUAGUCAAACAUAUUGCAGAUCCGCUUCCAAUAGAAGACAAUGAAAUAGUCACUGGAAAGCCUGUGCUCCUAAUUUUAGAACCUCAUGUAUCUUCUGCUCCUAAACUCUGAUAGGACUAAAUGCUGUGAGGCCUCAAUGCAUUAUGUUAAUGUGUAUUUUCACCAGGUCAAGGAAGCUUUUCCUGAUCCACUAACUAAGGACAAUCAAACCCUUCAUGAUCUAGAAUCUGGAGACUGUGUCUUCUGGGAAUAGUAUCAGAGAAAGACUGCCCUUACUGCCCACAUGUAGCAAAACUUUGAGACGUUGAAUUAUGGGUCCAUAAUCUCACAACUCAGAGGGGCACCUCUAGACUCUUGGAACUGUAUAUCUAUUGGAGACUUUAAGGUAAAGCUGAACAGAGAGACGUUUUUCUCCAGAAGCAGACAGCACCAUAGUCAUGGACAGCUUUCCCAAGAUCACAGAUCAAGACUUCUCUGCCGUCAUGAGACUCAUAACCUCUUAAUUUUUUCUUGCUUAUGCUUCUGUGAACAAUAGAAUUGGAAAAGGGGUGGUCCCGCGUGCACCCAUAGGGUAUACUUUUAUUUGUGGAGGAUUUUGCUGCCAACCUUAUACAUGGGCAAACUUAUGCCUUCAUGGAUGGAAGAUAAAGGGCUAAUAUGGGUUAGAAAUUUUAAUGGUACCUUUGUUUCUCCAUAAUCAUUCAGAAACAGAACACUGGUCCACUCUUGUUAACCUACAUCAUAGGUUGAAGAGAACAUUGCCAGGAGGCCUUCAUCCUUCCAGAUGGGCACCAUUUGUUGGGUCUUUUUCCGUGGUAUGAAGAAAAUGAAGCAAUGAUUAGAAAUUGGUCCCUCGGCCGGGCACAAUGGCUCAUGCCUGUAAUCCCAUCACUUUGGCAGGCCGAGGCGGGUGGAUCACCUGAGGUCAGGAGUUUGAGACCAGCCUGACCAAUGUGGUGAAACGCCAUCUCUACUAAAAAUACAAAAAUUAGCUGGGUGUGAUGGUGCACACCUGUAAUCCAGCUACUCGGGAGGCUGAGACAGGAGAAUUGCUUGAACCUGGGAGGCAGAGGUUGCAGUGAGCCAAGAUCACCCCACUGCAUUCCAGGUUGGGCAACAGAGCAAGACUCUGUCUCAAAAAAAAAAGAAGAAAGAAAGAAAUUGAUCCCUCAUAAUAGGCUGUAUAGCAGAUUCUACUGCAAAGGCUAUGGUUGCACAACAGACUUCUUUGAAUUUGCUUGCUAAACUUUUACUGGAUAAUACUGGGAUUACAGGUGUGAGCCACUGUGCCCAGCCUCUCCUGUUUAACUGUAUUCAUUCUAAUGUUUACUUACUUCUUUAAUUUGUAAAAUUGGGUCACUUAGAGUUUUUUUAGCCUAUCUUGCCAUUUAGCCACUGUUACUGAUAAUUUGGAUGGAAAAGAAAAAUAAAUUAUAUCACCUCUCAUCUUCAGUGUAUAUAUGUGUUAACUUAGUAAAUAUAGUAUUCUUUCUCGUUCCUAAUGAAAAUUUAGUUUACGUACUGAAACACUGCAAACUUUUAUAAAUAUUGUGAUGUAUUUGACCAAUACAAAGGAUCUUUUUAGAAACAGCAAACAGUUCUCAGAUUAUAGGAAUUACUCAUUUAAUGAUAGUUUCUUCUU